rnacentral:rRNA from 1 species
GGAAGAAAAACGGGGUGUGAGAAGCGCUUCGUCUUGACGUUACCCACAGAAGAAGCACCGGCUAACUCCGUGCCAGCAGCCGCGGUAAUACGGAGGGUGCGAGCGUUAAUCGGAAUUACUGGGCGUAAAGGGCGCGUAGGCGGUUGGGUAAGUCGAGUGUGAAAGCCCUGGGCUUAACCUGGGAAUGGCAUUCGAGACUACCUAAUUAGAGUCUGGUAGAGGGAAGUGGAAUUUCCGGUGUAGCGGUGAAAUGUGUAGAUAUCGGAAGGAACGCCAGUGGCGAAGGCGACUUCCUGGACCAAGACUGACGCUGAGGCGCGAAAGCGUGGGGAUCAAACAGGAUUAGAUACCCUGGUAGUCCACGCCCUAAACGAUGAGAACUGGCCGUUGGGGGAGUUAAAUCCUUGAGUGGCUCAGCUAACGCGAUAAGUUCUCCGCCUGGGGAGUACGGCCGCAAGGUUAAAACUCAAAGGAAUUGACGGGGGCCCGCACAAGCGGUGGAGCAUGUGGUUUAAUCCGAUGCAACGCGAAGAACCUUACCUGGUCUUGACAUCUGCGGAACCUGGGAGAGAUCUCAGGGUGCCUUCGGGAACCGCAAGACAGGUGCUGCAUGGCUGUCG